UACAGAGGGUGCAAGCGUUGUUCGGAAUUACUGGGCGUAAAGCGCGUGUAGGUGGCGAUGUAAGUCGGGUGUGAAAUCCCGGGGCUCAACCUCGGAACUGCCUUUGAUACAGCACGUCUCGAGUCCGGAAGAGGUGGGUGGAAUUCCUAGUGUAGAGGUGAAAUUCGUAGAUAUUAGGAAGAACACCGGUGGCGAAGGCGGCCCACUGGUCCGGUACUGACGCUGAGGUGCGAAAGCGUGGGGAGCAAACAGG
rnacentral:rRNA from 1 species